ACGCUCGACACCUACUGGAGGCAGCAGUGGGGAAUAUUGCACAAUGGGGGAAACCCUGAUGCAGCAACGCCGCGUGAAGGAAGACGGUUUUCGGAUUGUAAACUUCUGUUCUUAGUGAAGAUAGUGACGGUAGCUAAGGAGCAAGCCACGGCUAACUACGUGUCAGCAGCCGCGGUAAUCUGAGCGGCUGGCAAGGC
rnacentral:rRNA from 1 species